AAAGGGCGCGUAGGCGGAUGUCUUAGUCAGAGGUGAAAGCCCAGGGCUCAACCUUGGAACUGCCUUUGAUACUGGACAUCUUGAGUAUGGGAGAGGUGAGUGGAACUCCGAGUGUAGAGGUGAAAUUCGUAGAUAUUCGGAAGAACACCAGUGGCGAAGGCGACUCACUGGCCCAUUACUGACGCUGAGGCGCGAAAGCGUGGGGAGCAAACAGGAUUAGAUACCCGUGU
rnacentral:rRNA from 1 species